rnacentral:tRNA from 33 species
GUCCCUAUAGUUUAGCGGUUAGAACACCGCCCUUUCACGGCGGUAGCCGGGGUUCGAUUCCCCGUGGGGACGCCA